GCUCCGGUGGCCUAGUGGUAGAGCGUCUGCCUCGGAUGCGGGAGGUCGUAGGUUCAAAUCCCCGCGGAGUCA